AAACCCGGGCAGGUGGAGGUCGUUAGCGAAAGCAGUUCAUCUAGGAGAGCAAACUCCGAUUACAAAACCGGGCAGGUGGAGGUCGUUAGCGUGAGCAGUUCACCUAGGAGAGCAAACUCCGAUUACAAACCCGGGCAGGUGGAGGUCGUUAGCGAAAGCAGUUCACCUAGGAGAGCAAACUCCGAUUACAAACCCGGGCAGGUGGGGUUCGUUAGCCCUGGUAGGCAAUUCACCUAGGAGAGCAAACUCCGAACAAUAAACCCGGGCAGGUUGGGCUCGUGAGCCGUCAUAGGUAAUACACCUAGGAGAGCAAACUCCGAACAAUAAACCCGGGCAGGUUGGGCUCGUGAGCCGUCAUAGGUAAUACACCUAGGAGAGCAAACUCCGAACAAUAAACCCGGGCAGGUUGGGCUCGUGAGCCGUCAUAGGUAAUACACCUAGGAGAGCAAACUCCGAUCAUAAAACCCGGGCAGGUGAGGUUCGUUAGCCGUGGUAGGCAAUUCACCUAGGAGAGCAAACUCCGAACAAUAAACCCGGGCAGGUGGAGGUCGUUAGCGAAAGCAGUUCAUCUAGGAGAGCAAACUCCGAUUACAAAACCGGGCAGGUGGAGGUCGUUAGCGUGAGCAGUUCACCUAGGAGAGCAAACUCCGAUUACAAACCCGGGCAGGUGGAGGUCGUUAGCGAAAGCAGUUCACCUAGGAGAGCAAACUCCGAUUACAAACCCGGGCAGGUUGGGCUCGUGAGCCGUCAUAGGUAAUACACCUAGGAGAGCAAACUCCGAACAAUAAACCCGGGCAGGUUGGGCUCGUGAGCCGUCAUAGGUAAUACACCUAGGAGAGCAAACUCCGAACAAUAAACCCGGGCAGGUUGGGCUCGUGAGCCGUCAUAGGUAAUACACCUAGGAGAGCAAACUCCGAACAAUAAACCCGGGCAGGUGGAGCUCGUCAGCCGUGGUGGGCAAUCUGCCUAGGAGAGCAAACUCCGAACAAUAAACCCGGGCAGGUGGAGCUCGUCAGCCGUGGUAGGCAGUCUGCCUAGGAGAGCAAACUCCGAACAAUAAACCCGGGCAGGUGGAGCUCGUCAGCCGUGGUAGGCAGUCUGCCUAGGAGAGCAAACUCCGAACAAUAAACCCGGGCAGGUGGAGCUCGUCAGCCGUGGUAGGCAGUCUGCCUAGGAGAGCAAACUCCGAACAAUAAACCGGGGCUUGUGGUGCUCGUUAGAUGUCGUAGACAAUCCACGUGAUGGGAACACCAAAGAAAAAUAAAAUAAAAAGGAACACCAGAAAAAGGAAAAUAUAGUAACAAAACAUCAAGAAAAUAAAAUAAAAAACACAGAUCAUCCACCUUCAGGCCCUAACAUCUCCAAAAUUAUGGGUGAGUCUUUUCUGGGGAGAAAGAGGCUCAUCCAGACCAAAGAACAUAAAAAAGGGAUGAUAUAGAAAGGAACACCAAAAAAUGGGAAAAAGAGAAAAAAACAUCGCAAAAGAAAAGUAACAACAAUAACAGAACAACGUCAAGAAAAGUAACAUACAAAGAAACAUCAUCCACCAUUCGGCCCCAAACUAACAUCACCAAAAUUAUGGGUGGGUCUUUUCUGGGGAGAAAGAGGCUCAUCCAGACCAAAGAACAUCAAAGAGGGAUGAUAUAGAGAAGAACACCAAGAAAUAGGGGAAAAAAGAGCAAAAAAACAUCGCAAAAGAAAAGUAACAGCAAUAACAGAACAUCAAGAAAAGUAACAUACAGAGAAACAUCAUCCACCAUUCGGCCCCAAACUAACAUCACCAAAAUUAUGGGUGGGUCUCUUCUGGGAGGAAAGCGGCUCACCCAGACCAAUGAACAUCAACAAGAGGAUGAUAUGAAAUAAAAGAACAUCAAAAAAGAAAAACAACAGCAAGAAAACAAAGAAAAAGAUAAAGAAAAGAAAAAGAAAAAGAAACAAAAAGAAAAAGAAAAACACCAAAAUAAAAUAAAACAAAAACAAAAAAAAUAAUCCAAAUAAAUAAAUAAAUAAACAAAUACAGAAUACAGUAAAAUUAACGAACUAACUAACUAAUUCAAACUGUCUAACUAUUAAA